AUACGUAGGUGGCAAGCGUUGUCCGGAAUUAUUGGGCGUAAAGGGCGCGUAGGUGGUCACUUCAGUCUGUCGUAAAAGCGCGGGGCUCAACCCCGUUAAGCGGUGGAAACUAAGUGACUUGAGUGCAGGAGAGGAAAGUGGAAUUCCCAGUGUAGCGGUGAAAUGCGUAGAGAUUGGGAGGAACACCAGUGGCGAAGGCGGCUUUCUGGACUGUAACUGACACUGAGGCGCGAAAGCCAGGGGAGCGAACGGGAUUAGAUACCCCGGUAGUCCUGGCCGUAAACGAUGGGUACUAGGUGUAGGAGGUAUCGACCCCUUCUGUGCCGGAGUUAACGCAAUAAGUACCCCGCCUGGGGAGUACGGCCGCAAGGUUGA
rnacentral:rRNA from 1 species